rnacentral:lncRNA from 1 species
CAAUUCCGUGCUAGUAGCUUUUCUUUCCUUCUUCCUAGGCCAAUGGAGAAAAUUCUUCAGUCGUCUCGCAGUAUGAUUUACGGAGCUUGACUUCUUAGUAUCAAACGAAGUACUCAAGUUCAAGUCGCUUAGUUCACUCAGGCAUGAGCUAUAUUCCACGCUUUCUUUAUCACAACCUGCAUCGUAUGUAUUCUCCAAACCGGUGUACAAAAAUAUCUCUGCAUCAGGGACUCUGAAUGAUGUUCCAGGACUUGCACCUACACCGUGCUCCUUCAGAUGAGGAACAAGAGCACUCCUUGCUACAUUGUCUUGACAAUUAGAGAUUCCUCCAGCUGCAAUUAGUUCUUUGAUUAAAAUUUCCGAAGAUGCAGAUUUAGGCCUUCUCUUGAGGAGAUCUAACGGGGUCAAGCCAUCAACAUCACAAACAUUCAGGUCAAUAGAUGGCACGGACAUGAGUAGUUCCACCAGACUAGACUGAACAUUCUCAGUUACGGCCAUAUGCAAAGCAGUUCUUCCAUCCAAGUUUCUCACAUUGAUGAUAUCUCGAAUGUCGACAACCUCACCGCAUACUAAUUGCUUCAUCAGCUCGAUCUGCCG